GUAGUCCACGCCGUAAACGAUGAGUGCUAGGUGUUGGGUCCUUUCCGGGACUCAGUGCCGCAGCUAACGCAUUAAGCACUCCGCCUGGGGAGUACGACCGCAAGGUUGAAACUCAAAGGAAUUGACGGGGGCCCGCACAAGCGGUGGAGCAUGUGGUUUAAUUCGAAGCAACGCGAAGAACCUUACCAGGUCUUGACAUCCCGGUGCCCGUCCUAGAGAUAGGAUUUUGCUUCAGCACACCGGUGACAGGUGGUGCAUGGUUGUCGUCAGCUCGUGUCGUGAGAUGUUGGGUUAAGUCCCGCAACGAGCGCAACCCUUAUUGUUAGUUGCCAUCAUUCAGUUGGGCACUCUAGCGAGACUGCCGGUAAUAAACCGGA
rnacentral:rRNA from 1 species